GAUGAACGCUGGCGGCGUGCUUAACACAUGCAAGUCGAACGAAGCGCUUCAAUUUCUUCGGAUUGAGAAGUGACUGAGUGGCGGACGGGUGAGUAACGCGUGGGUAACCUGCCUCAUACAGGGGGAUAACAGUUAGAAAUGACUGCUAAUACCGCAUAAGCGCACAGCAACGCAUGUUGCAGUGUGAAAAACUCCGGUGGUAUGAGAUGGACCCGCGUCUGAUUAGCUAGUUGUGGGUAACGGCCUACCAAGGCGACGAUCAGUAGCCGACCUGAGAGGGUGAUCGGCCACAUUGGGACUGAGACACGGCCCAAAACUCCUACGGGAGCAGCAGUGGGGAAUAUUGCACAAUGGGGGAAACCCUGAUGCAGCGACGCCGCGUGAGUGAAGAAGUAUUUCGGUAUGUAAAAGCUCUAUCAGCAGGGAAGAUAAAUGAC
rnacentral:rRNA from 1 species